UUGUUUGUUUUUUCCCAAACGGCUCCCGUCGAAAAAUGGUAGCACGAGUGAAUGAAUUCCCAAACGGCUCCGAUAUUCAGUACUACGAGUACAUUUCUCGUAACAAAGUAAGUACAGAUGCGUCAUGGGAAACAUUCGUACCACAUCAUACGGUUUACGAUAACAAGUUCUAUUGAAUCCAUUAAAAUUAUUAGAGUUUGGAUUUUACAUUUCAAAUAUCAUACGCCUAUAUGGAUUGUUGUUAAACAAAUUUUAAAUAGUUUAUCGAAUCUAUCGAUUUGGUUUAUAAAAACUUGAUCGGAUAUGCGAUAUGGAUAUGGCGCAUUUUGCGUAUUUGUGAAUUUGCAUUG